rnacentral:pre_miRNA from 1 species
ACAGCCUUGCAGGUGGUCAAAUACGUGUGUGAAAGACGUUUCAUCAUUCACAAGGCUGCAC